GACGAACGCUGGCGGCGUGCUUAACACAUGCAAGUCGAACGGAAAGGCCCUGCUUUUGUGGGGUGCUCGAGUGGCGAACGGGUGAGUAACACGUGAGUAACCUGCCCUUGACUUUGGGAUAACUUCAGGAAACUGGGGCUAAUACCGGAUAGGAGCUCCUGCUGCAUGGUGGGGGUUGGAAAGUUUCGGCGGUUGGGGAUGGACUCGCGGCUUAUCAGCUUGUUGGUGGGGUAGUGGCUUACCAAGGCUUUGACGGGUAGCCGGCCUGAGAGGGUGACCGGCCACAUUGGGACUGAGAUACGGCCCAGACUCCUACGGGAGGCAGCAGUGGGGAAUAUUGCACAAUGGGCGGAAGCCUGAUGCAGCAACGCCGCGUGCGGGAUGACGGCCUUCGGGUUGUAAACCGCUUUCGCCUGUGACGAAGCGUGAGUGACGGUAAUGGAUAAAGAAGCACCGGCUAACUACGUGCCAGCAGCCGCGGUGAUACGUAGGGUGCGAGCGUUGUCCGGAUUUAUUGGGCGUAAAGAGCUCGUAGGUGGUUGAUCGCGUCGGAAGUGUAAUCUUGGGGCUUAACCCUGAGCGUGCUUUCGAUACGGGUUGACUUGAGGAAGGUAGGGGAGAAUGGAAUUCCUGGUGGAGCGGUGGAAUGCGCAGAUAUCAGGAGGAACACCAGUGGCGAAGGCGGUUCUCUGGGCCUUUCCUGACGCUGAGGAGCGAAAGCGUGGGGAGCGAACAGGCUUAGAUACCCUGGUAGUCCACGCUGUAAACGGUGGGUACUAGGUGUGGGGUCCAUUCCACGGGUUCCGUGCCGUAGCUAACGCUUUAAGUACCCCGCCUGGGGAGUACGGCCGCGAGGCUAAAACUCAAAGGAAUUGACGGGGCCCCGCACAAGCGGCGGAGCAUGCGGAUUAAUUCGAUGCAACGCGUAGAACCUUACCUGGGUUUGACAUGGAUCGGGAGUGCUCAGAGAUGGGUGUGCCUCUUUUGGGGUCGGUUCACAGGUGGUGCAUGGCUGUCGCCAGCUCGUGUCGUGAGAUGUUGGGUUAAGUCCCGCAACGAGCGCAACCCUUGUUCACUGUUGCCAGCACGUUAUGGUGGGGACUCAGUGGAGACCGCCGGGGUCAACUCGGAGGAAGGUGGGGAUGACGUCAAGUCAUCAUGCCCCUUAUGUCCAGGGCUUCACGCAUGCUACAAUGGCUGGUACAGAGAGUGGCGAGCCUGUGAGGGUGAGCGAAUCUCGGAAAGUCGGUCUCAGUUCGGAUUGGGGUCUGCAACUCGACCUCAUGAAGUCGGAGUCGCUAGUAAUCGCAGAUCAGCAACGCUGCGGUGAAUACGUUCCCGGGGCU
rnacentral:rRNA from 1 species